GAUUUAUUGGGCGUAAAGGGCUCGUAGGUGGUUGAUCGCGUCGGAAGUGUAAUCUUGGGGCUUAACCCUGAGCGUGCUUUCGAUACGGGUUGACUUGAGGAAGGUAGGGGAGAAUGGAAUUCCUGGUGGAGCGGUGGAAUGCGCAGAUAUCAGGAGGAACACCAGUGGCGAAGGCGGUUCUCUGGGCCUUUCCUGACGCUGAGGAGCGAAAGCGUGGGGAGCGAACAGGCUUAGAUACCCUGGUAGUCCACGCUGUAAACGGUGGGUACUAGGUGUGGGGUCCAUUCCACGGGUUCCGUGCCGUAGCUAACGCUUUAAGUACCCCGCCUGGGGAGUACGGCCGCAAGGCUAAAACUCAAAGGAAUUGACGGGGCCCCGCACAAGCGGCGGAGCAUGCGGAUUAAUUCGAUGCAACGCGUAGAACCUUACCUGGGUUCGACAUGGAUCGGGAGUGCUCAGAGAUGGGUGUGCCUCUUUUGGGGUCGGUUCACAGGUGGUGCAUGGCUGUCGUCAGCUCGUGUCGUGAGAUGUUGGGUUAAGUCCCGCAACGAGCGCAACCCUUGUUCACUGUUGCCAGCACGUUAUGGUGGGGACUCAGUGGAGACCGCCGGGGUCAACUCGGAGGAAGGUGGGGAUGACGUCAAGUCAUCAUGCCCCUUAUGUCCAGGGCUUCACGCAUGCUACAAUGGCUGGUACAGAGAGUGGCGAGCCUGUGAGGGUGAGCGAAUCUCGGAAAGCCGGUCUCAGUUCGGAUUGGGGUCUGCAACUCGACCUCAUGAAGUCGGAGUCGCUAGUAAU
rnacentral:rRNA from 1 species